rnacentral:rRNA from 1 species
UUAAAUUGAAGAGUUUGAUCAUGGCUCAGAUUGAACGCUGGCGGCAGGCCUAACACAUGCAAGUCGAGCGGAAACGACACUAACAAUCCUUCGGGUGCGUUAAUGGGCGUCGAGCGGCG